UCUCCCAUGCCUCAUUAUUCUCUCUCUCUCUCUCUCUCUCUCUCUCUCUCUCACACACACACACACACACACACACAUAUACAGAGAGAGAGAGAGAGAGAGAGAGAGAGAGAGAGAGAUCUAUUUUUUAU